rnacentral:tRNA from 1 species
GGAACGGUAAGCUAAAAGAAGCUUACAGGCUCAUGCCCUGUCGAUGAGUGCUCAACACUCCCUCUCCA